UAGAGACACAGCCACUAGCACAGGCAG
rnacentral:sRNA from 1 species